rnacentral:lncRNA from 1 species
AUGCACAACAUGGUUCUAUGCCGGAUGUGCGGCAAUCAGAGAGCUGUGGCUCUAGAGAGAUCAUGUUAGAUAGUUCAUUGCAGCAAGAGAGAAUUCAAAUAUCUAUUAGGAGACUGAGGUGAGCCUCAGAAUGAGAUAGGUGGGUUUGAGCUUGAAUAGAAUUUGAGCUGCAGUCCCUUCAAACGAAGCUGAAGCGACAGUUGAUGCA